AUGCAUGCAUACAAGCAGACAAGCUGGACAAGUUUAAUUCACGGAAAAGGGAGGUCCCUCUCACAUCAGCCCCAAGCAGCAAUGACGGCUGUUAAAUUAUCCACAUUGAUCAUCUUGCAUGACUGAUGGUGUUGAGCCUUUUAGGCGAGAUUCUGAUUCUUUUCUUGAUUGGUUUUACAUAAUUUUGUGAAUAUUCAAGAUUAAUUGUAGGCAUAAGAAUUCUCAAAACUACGUUGUUUUCUAUGGCAGAUGUCACUCAGAAAAGUGUGAUGAGAGGAAGUAGCCACCUGUAGACUCGACCUGCGACUGCAUUAUUCCUUUUACGGUCUCACAUGACUCCAUGUUGUCUAAUUGACUCCACUCUCGGCGGCUCACCCAAUCAAAUGCUCCCAUGAUGCCUCACCAGGAACGAGACGGGCUGACUGAGUGGUGCCUUCUUUCAGCUCUCUCUGCGGGGGCCGAUGUCGACAUCCUGCUUCACAGCCUGUCCAGCCGCCACAGUGUGCAGCCAAACGCCCUGAAAGUGUCUGGGGCAUUGUUCUCCUACUUGAAAGUCAGCGAAGCUUUGUCAGCGUCCUCUCCUGUAGCCUUUAUCGUAUUCACACGCUGUGCUGUAUUUUUAGCACGUCCAAGUUUGCUCCCUUUGUUCCGGCAAUUCUUGAGCAAUCUUUCAGACCUCUCCACCUCCUCCAUUGUAUUUUUAGACAAAGGUGAAAAAUGGCAGACCUGAUGUGGAAGGGCCUUCCUCUGGAUCAGGGUUGGGUCUGUCUGAGAGACGGAGAGGGGCCUUGACACAAGCUUUGUCAGGGAGAAGGGGGUCUUGUCUAACCCAGCAGUCUGGACACAAAUGAUCCAAAUAUUUAGAAGCUUUCUUUUGUGGUCACUGCUCUUUUAGGAAUAGUCUUUAAAACAUAGCAGUAUAAAUAACAUAAAGAAGUACAGUUGUGUCCAAAUUAAGCUUCCAGAAUGUAAAAAAAAAAAA